GUCCAGGUGGGCCCAAUGUAAAGACAAGAAUCUUUAAAUAGGGAAGAAGGAGGUAGAAGGAGCAGAAGCAGAGAGACGGCGUUGUGAGAAAGACGCAACUGGCGUUGCGGGUUUUAAAGAUGGAAGGGCGCCAGUAGCUGAUGAAGAGGUCAGCCUGCGGGAGCUGGAAAGGCAAGGAGACAGAUUCUCCCCUCGAGCCUCCAGAAGGAACAUAUCCCUGCUGACCGUCUUGGUUUUGGCCCAUCGAGACGCCUUUUGGACUUCUGACCUCCGGAACGGUAUCUGCUUCAUGAAUGCAAUGAGCUGAGGCUAAAAUGAUUGAUAAAUACAGACACAAGUUGCUGCUCUCCUAGAACUUAAAAUCGGAUGCCAGUUUCCUUGUUUUGAGCACCUCAUGGAGAGGUCCACGUGGCAAGAGACUGAGGUCUCCAACCACCAACCAGUGAUAAACUGAGGCUUCCUAUCAACAGGUGAUACAACUUGGAAGUAAAUCCUCCAGCUCCAGACAGCCUUUCAGAUGACAGCAACCCAGGCUGCCAUCUUGACUGCAAUGCCGUGAGAUAUACUGAUGUGAAACUACCCAGCUGAGCUGCCAUCAAAUUCCCAAUUCCCAGAAACUGAGAUAAUGAAUGUUGGUUGUUUUAAGCUGGUAACUUUUGGGGUGAUUUGUUAUACAGAAAUAGAUAAGUAAUGCAACUGCCUUGCAGGAGGAAGGCUAGAAGAUUGACGCUAUUUACAAUUAAUAGAGAAUGAAACCCUAACAUUGGAUCCCUAAAGAUGAAAGGAACAUUGUUGAGUCCCUUUCAGUGGGAUAAGAACUGCUUCUUGACAAGAUUCUGCAAGCUUCUGCUUCUGGAAAAACAGAGAUAUGCACAGCUUAAUGAGUGUAAUUCAAAACACUUUGAGUUUCUUUUCCAUGUCGAAGUGUUUUUUUAGUUUUCCAUUUCCAGCCUUUUUUGAGAGUCCCUUACAAUAACCACAAAUAUUAGAGGAUGAUUGGAUUCAAAGGCUUGGUAGUAAAUGUAAUUAUCCUUUAAAUAUGUAACAGUCAUACAAAGGGAAUGAUUUGUGUGUAGCCAUAAAUCGGUUACAAAAGUAGAACUAAGUGGUCAACAAAUAUCAUUCGCUGGCUUAUCCUCUUAAUACAAAACGUACUGACUCCUACUGUGUCUUAGGCACUCCCAGUAAAAAUGUAAAAACUCGAGUCAGCUGAUUUUUAGACUAGUAGGAAGACCUAACUGAAUGGUUCCCUUGCUCAUGAAGUCAUCCCCAAUUAUCAAAGGGAGAUUUCCCUUUUCUGGACUCCCAUAGCAUGUUGUUGGCCUGACUGCGUAGCAUGUGAUACAUACA